rnacentral:piRNA from 1 species
UUAGUUUUCAUUAAUUUCUGCCCUGAUUUU